UUAAAAUGGGCAAAAACAUUUAAACGCCAACAAUAACGUUGAGCUUGUCGCGGCUUAAGCCGUGACCGUCCCACCCGGAGGGGCCACGAUCCGGGAUGGGGCGUCGUUGAGUGGCGAACGUGCGUGCGCAAAGCUUUGAGCGCACCAUGCAUCAUGAAGCUACCAAGCCCCUGAGUGUGUCAGCCCACGCUUGGGUAAGGGAAUGUAAAUGACUGUCUGCGCCCGGAGAAGUUCCCGUUGAAGCGUUUUCGGACGGGGGUUCGACUCCCCCCGCCUCCACCA
rnacentral:tmRNA from 1 species